CUGGCAACAACAGAAACGGCAUGGAGCUAUCAAACAGUCAAGGAGGGAAAGGGCGAUUAACAUUCAAUAACUCAGACAGACUCUGCUCAAGACGUAAGAAAUGCAUGACGAAAGCCAGAGUAAUGCGAAUGCAUAAAGAUAAUUGUAUUAAGUCUAGAAAAAGAACAUUCUGUCAUAAGACUUUUUGGAUAACCAUUUUCAGGGCAGCCUAUGGUUCUUUAAAGAUCCUUUGAUGUAAUCCAUAUAUUAAAAAGUCCCUCCACUAAUAACAAUGAGAACCUACAGCAAGCAUACUGGUAAAGAAGGUAAAAAGGUUUGCACCAAUUAUAAUAAAAACCUAAUUCAGUCCCUAGUAAUAUUACUUCAUUUCCAACACGAAGAUUAAGAGAACAUCUGUCACUGUCCAAACGUUAGCAUUUCCAGCUAGAGAACUCUGAAGUGUGUUAUCUCAACAAUAUUCCCGACAGAGGCAAAAAAGAAGUCAAUAGAAGUCUUUG
rnacentral:lncRNA from 1 species